rnacentral:rRNA from 1 species
CUACGAGCGGCUGCAGUGGGGAAUAUUGCACAAUGGGCGCAAGCCUGAUGCAGCCAUGCCGCGUGUAUGAAGAAGGCCUUCGGGUUGUAAAGUACUUUCAGCGGGGAGGAAGGGAGUAAAGUUAAUACCUUUGCUCAUUGACGUUACCCGCAGAAGAAGCACCGGCUAACUCCGUGCCAGCAGCCGCGGUAAUACGGAGGGUGCAAGCGUUAAUCGGAAUUACUGGGCGUAAAGCGCACGCAGGCGGUUUGUUAAGUCAGAUGUGAAAUCCCCGGGCUCAACCUGGGAGCUGCAUCUGAUACUGGCAAGCUUGAGUCUCGUAGAGGGGGGUAGAAUUCCAGGUGUAGCGGUGAAAUGCGUAGAGAUCUGGAGGAAUACCGGUGGCGAAGGCGGCCCCCUGGACGAAGACUGACGCUCAGGUGCGAAAGCGUGGGGAGCAAACAGGAUUAGAUACCCGUGUAGUC